UACGUAGGGUGCGAGCGUUAAUCGGAAUUACUGGGCGUAAAGCGUGCGCAGGCGGUUUCGUAAGACAGAGGUGAAAUCCCCGGGCUCAACCUGGGAACUGCCUUUGUGACUGCGAGGCUAGAGUAUGGCAGAGGGGGGUGGAAUUCCACGUGUAGCAGUGAAAUGCGUAGAGAUGUGGAGGAACACCGAUGGCGAAGGCAGCCCCCUGGGCCAAUACUGACGCUCAUGCACGAAAGCGUGGGGAGCAAACAGG
rnacentral:rRNA from 1 species